GCCUGCCAUUGGACUCCCUUCACUUGCCCCUGUUGCACAGAUGUUACAUUUUAUGUAUGCUGAUAAAAUAGUCCCAUCAUGUGCAACAGUGGCUUUUGGAGAUAACUCUUCUGACUGGAC
rnacentral:precursor_RNA from 15 species